UUAAACAUCUGCUGUUUCUGACCCUGGUACACUGCUCUUGGGUAUCCUCCUGACAUUGCGGCUACAUAUAGACCAGUGGCAGCUACCUCUGUUCCUGUAUUGAAGCUAAUAUUACAGUGUGCAGAGGUAGUGUUUGAAGCACUGAGGAGGGACAUGCAGUCUGACCGGGCACAUGGCAACCAAAAGGAAAGAGAAGAACAUUUCAUUGGUUUGGGGCAAACUGAGAAGAUUAAGGUAAGGCAGAGUUGAGUCAGCAUGAUUAAACCUCUAUAGGUGAGUGACUAUUGACCUAGUACAGUACAAAUUUACAAACUGUUGAAGUAGACCUUUUAACCUGCAAUUAGAACUGUUUGUUUUUCAGGCGGUCUCAAUGUUCAUCAUGGCCAUCCAGGUGUAUUGUAAACAUAAUACCAAUUACAUGUAUUAUUUAUGGUCCAAAAUUUAGUAUCAUUCAAGUUAAGGAAAAUGGGGUGUGAAGUAAUUAUCUGCCUCAGAGUCCACUGCCCGGAUAUGUAACAGGGUACAAUUAGGGAAUUUUUUCUGAUUACUGUCUAUAAACUGAAAAUCCAUGCAUGGCUGAGAAAGGUUUUUUAUUAGUCUAAUACAGCUGUUUUAGCUUUUCAAUGGCAAUUUUUCUGUCAAAACAAAGGCUGUCAUACUAUAUAGUAUUCAACUCAAGGUUGAACAG
ensembl:lncRNA